rnacentral:rRNA from 1 species
UGGUGGGUAGUUUGACUGGGGCGGUCUCCUCCUAAAGAGUAACGGAGGAGCACGAAGGUUGGCUAAUCCUGGUCGGACAUCAGGAGGUUAGUGCAAUGGCAUAAGCCAGCUUGACUGCGAGCGUGACGGCGCGAGCAGGUGCGAAAGCAGGUCAUAGUGAUCCGGUGGUUCUGAAUGGAAGGGCCAUCGCUCAACGGAUAAAAGGUACUCCGGGGAUAACAGGCUGAUACCGCCCAAGAGUUCAUAUCGACGGCGGUGUUUGGCACCUCGAUGUCGGCUCAUCACAUCCUGGGGCUGAAGUAGGUCCCAAGGGUAUGGCUGUUCGCCAUUUAAAGUGGUACGCGAGCUGGGUUUAGAACGUCGUGAGACAGUUCGGUCCCUAUCUGCCGUGGGCGCUGGAGAACUGAGGGGGGCUGCUCCUAGUACGAGAGGACCGGAGUGGACGCAUCACUGGUGUUCGGGUUGUCAUGCCAAUGGCACUGCCCGGUAGCUAAAUGCGGAAGAGAUAAGUGCUGAAAGCAUCUAAGCACGAAACUUGCCCCGAGAUGAGUUCUCCCUGAGACUUUAGGUCUCCUGAAGGAAC